CCUACGGGCGGCAGCAGUGUGGGAUAUUGCACAAUGGGGGGAACCCUGAUGCAGCGACGCCGCGUGGGUGAAGGAGUGCUUCGGCAUGUAAAGCCCUAUCGGCAGGGAAGAAGCAAGACGGUACCGGACGAAGAAGCCCCGGCGGACUACGUGCCAGCAGCCGCGGUAAGACUGAGGGGGCGAGCGUGAUCCGGAUUCACUGGGUGUAAAGGGAGCGGAGACGGCCAUGCAAGCCAGGGGUGAAAGCCCGGGGCCCAACCCCGGGACUGCCCUUGGAACUGCAUGGCUGGAGUGCGGGAGGGGCAGGCGGAAUUCCUGGUGUAGCGGUGAAAUGCGUAGAUAUCAGGAGGAACACCUGCGGCGAAGGCGGCCUGCUGGACCGCGACUGACGUUGAGGCUCGAACGCGUGGGGAGCGAACAGGAUUAGAUACCCGUGUAGUC
rnacentral:rRNA from 1 species